rnacentral:rRNA from 1 species
GUUGUAUAGUUAAGUGACUAAGCGUACAAGGUGGAUGCCUUGGCAAUCAGAGGCGAAGAAGGACGUGCUAAUCUGCGAAAAGCUUGGAUGAGUCGAUAAGAGGCGUUUAAUCCAAGAUAUCCGAAUGGGGAAACCCAGUAGAUGAAGAAUCUACUAUCAACAAGUGAAUUCAUAGCUUGUUGAGGCAAACCGGGAGAACUGAAACAUCUAAGUACCC